rnacentral:rRNA from 1 species
CAAUAGCGUAUAUUAAAGUUGUUGCAGUUAAAAAGCUCGUAGUUGAAGUUCUGGCUGUAUGGGCCUUUGUACUAGAUACGAAAGCACCAGCAGUCAUCCGCUUGCAAAUACAUGUCCUUCCUUAACUGGUAGGCUGUAUGAGUAAGCAUUUUACCUUGAGAAAAACAGAGUGUUCCAGGCAGGUUUGUCCGGAAUGCAUUAGCAUGGAAUAAUAGAAUAUGACUGAAGUCGAUCUAUUGGUUUGAGGCUUUAGUAAUGAUUAAUAGGAACAAUCGGGGGCAUUAGUACUUGCCAGUCAGAGGUGAAAUUCUAAGAUUUGGCAAAGACUAACUGAUGCGAAAGCGUUUGCCAAGGAUGUUUUCAUUAA